rnacentral:SRP_RNA from 1 species
GCCGGGUGCGGUGGCGCGCGCCUGUAAUCCAAGCUACCGGGAGGCUGAGGCUGGCGGAUCGUUUGAGCUCAGGAGCUCUGAGCUGCAGCGGACUAUGCCGAUCGGGUGUCCGCACUAAGUUCGGUAUCGAUAUGGUGCUCCUGGGGGAGCCCGGGACCACCAGGUCGCCUAAGGAGGGGUGCACCGGUCCAGGUCGGAAACGGAGCAGGUCAAAGCCCCCGUGCCGCUCAGUAGUGGGAUCGCGCCUGUGAAUAGACGCUGUAGUGCAGCCUGAGUAAUACAGCGGGACCCAGUCUUUU